AACCCAUGGUGAGGGCACCUGCUUAGUAAGUCCUUGUAUCUCUCCCAUGCAUCAUAGAAGGUUUCUAAAUCCAUCUGCACAAAAGAAGUGAUGUCAUUACGUAAUUU
rfam:Gossypium hirsutum cultivar TM-1 unplaced genomic scaffold scaffold2879.1, whole genome shotgun sequence